GGUUUUGCCAUGUUGCCUAGGCUGAUCUCAAAUCCCUGGGCUCAAGCAAUCCACCCACCUCAGCCUUCCAAAGUGCUGGGAUUACAGAUGUGAGCCACCACCUACAGCCUGGCCAAGAACCCUUUUCUCUCCCACAUUCCCCUGGGAGCAGAGGAUAGGCCUGAUGAUUGUUUUAAACAGUAGAAAGGGUUCAGCUAAGAACUACAGUCCACUCUCAGCCCUGUCAUGUACUAUAGGACAAGUCUUCAUUCACAACAAAUGGAUAGCAACACCAAUCUCGUAACACUGGGAAAACUGCAUACAAUAUUUAGAAGGAACACUAAUACAGCAGAAUCUGCACACAACGGAGUCAAAGAUCUGAGGCCAAAUCCUACUACACUUUACGACUUUGAGUUGGUCACUUUUCUGAACCUUAGCUUCUCCAUCAGUGUAAAACUGAUGUAAAAUAAUAUAAAGCUAUAUGAAAGCUGAUGUGAUGUACUUGUGAAAUAGUAUGUGCAAAAGGACUUUGUAAAAUGUAAAGCACUAUGCUGGUUAUUGUGAUAUCUGAGAUAUUUUUAAAGUUGCAAUUCAAUUCAACAAGCAUUCAUUUAGAGUCAUGUGCAAGGCACUGUGCUAAGAGAUGGGAAAA
rnacentral:lncRNA from 10 species